CCGACUUAGAAUGGCGGCCAAUCCUAAAGUGGAAAAACACGGACUCAGAUCGCGGGAACGAAGGCAGCCCACGGGGAUCCUUCUUGCCCUGCCAACGAUCCUCCCAAGGGUCUCAGAGUCCUCGUCGGGUCCAUUUCUGAAUCUAUGACCGUACUCUGGUCUAUUGGCACAUUCCUAGAGAAGACUUGGGUUGUGCUCUCCAGCUUAUGUUCCUAGGAAGCCGCCAAUGGGUUCAAGUCCUUGGAUUCAAACAGGCCCCUUCUGAUAGUGCAGCCAGAACUCCAAAGGAGAAGGAAGCAAGGGAGGGGGCCAGGCAGAACAUGACGGGGAGAGCGGGCCUACUUCCCUGAAAACUUCCCUUCUGUGCCUCUGCUCCAUUUUUAAGGUAAGUGCGCCAAAAAAGCACUCGAGCUAUUUU